rnacentral:rRNA from 1 species
ACGGGGGCAGCAUUGGGGAAUACUGGACAAUGGGGGAAACCCUGAUCCAGCGACGCCGCGUGAGUGAAGAAGUAUUUCGGUAUGUAAAGCUCUAUCAGCAAGGAAGAAAAUGACGGUACUUGACUAAGAAGCUCCGGCUAAAUACGCGCCAGCAGCCGCGGUAAUACGUAUGGAGCAAGCGUUAUCCGGAUUUACUGGGUGUAAAGGGAGCGUAGACGGCUUUGCAAGUCUGAAGUGAAAGCCCGGGGCUCAACCCCGGAACUGCUUUGGAAACUGUAGAGCUAGAGUACAGGAGAGGUAAGCGGAAUUCCUAGUGUAGCGGUGAAAUGCGUAGAUAUUAGGAGGAACACCAGUGGCGAAGGCGGCUUACUGGACUGUAACUGACGUUGAGGCUCGAAAGCGUGGGGAGCAAACAGGAUUAGAUACCCUGGUA